rnacentral:rRNA from 1 species
AACGAACGCUGGCGGCAUGCCUAACACAUGCAAGUCGAACGAGACCUUCGGGUCUAGUGGCGCACGGGUGCGUAACGCGUGGGAACCUGCCCUUAGGUUCGGAAUAACUCCCCGAAAGGGGUGCUAAUACCGGAUAAUGUCUUCGGGCCAAAGAUUUAUCGCCUUUGGAUGGGCCCGCGUUGGAUUAGCUAGUUGGUAGGGUAAAAGCCUACCAAGGCGACGAUCCAUAGCUGAUCUGAGAGGAUGAUCAGCCACACUGGGACUGAGACACGGCCCAGACUCCGAGGGGAGGCAGCAGUAGGGAAUAUUGGAGGAUGGGCGAAAGCCUGAUAAAGCAAUGCCGCGUGAGUGAUGAAGGCCUUAGGGUUGUAAAGCUCUUUUACCCGGGAUGAUAAUGACAGUACCGGGAGAAUAAGCACCGGCUAACUCCGUG